GGGGAUGCAAGCGUUAUCCGGAUUUAUUGGGUUUAAAGGGUGCGUAGGCGGUGGAUUAAGUCAGCGGUGAAAUUUAGGGGCUCAACCUCUACCGUGCCGUUGAUACUGGUUCGCUAGAAUGCGGAUGCCGUGGGAGGAAUGUGUGGUGUAGCGGUGAAAUGCAUAGAUAUCACACAGAACACCGAUUGCGAAGGCAUCUCACGAAUCCGCUAUUGACGCUGAUGCACGAAAGCGUGGGGAUCAAACAGGAUUAGAUACCCUGGUAGCCCACGCUGUAAACGAUGAUGACUAACCGUCGGCGAUACACAGUCGGUGGCCAAGCGAAAGCGAUAAGUCAUCCACCUGGGGAGUACGACCGCAAGGUUGAAACUCAAAGGAAUUGACGGGGGCCCGCACAAGCGGAGGAACAUGUGGUUUAAUUCGAUGAUACGCGAGGAACCUUACCCGGGCUCGAACGGCAGGGGAAUUAUCCAGAGAUGGAUAAGUCUUCGGACUCCUGUCGAGGUGCUGCAUGGUUGUCGUCAGCUCGUGCUGUGAAGUGUCGGCUUAAGUGCCAUAACGAGCGCAACCCUUGCCGUUAGUUGCCAUCAGGUGAUGCUGGGGACUCUAGCGGGACUGCCACCGCAAGGUGUGAGGAAGGGGGGGAUGACGUCAAAUCACCACGGUCCUUACGUCCGGGGCGACACACGUGUUACAAUGGUGAGUACACAGCGUAGCUACCUGGCGACAGGAUGCAGAUCUCUAAAGCUCAUCCCAUUUCAGGAUUGGGAGUCUGCGACCAGACUCCAUGAAUUUGGAUUUCACUAGUAAUCUCGCAUCAGGCGUGGGCGCAGUGAAUACGAUCCCCGGGCCUUGUACACACCGGCCCGGUCAAGCCAU
rnacentral:rRNA from 1 species